rnacentral:miRNA from 1 species
AACAUCUUCUUACCAAAAAGUGCAAAGUUAAGGAGAUACGUUUUGCGCAUGCGCUGCGCUAUCUCCUUAAAUACGCAUAAUUUGUUAAAAGGAUAUUAAGCAAAGUUGUAGCCCUCAUCAACACGAACAACUUUUAUUAACAUCUUCUUACCAAAAAGUGCAAAGGUAAGGAGAUACGUUCUGCGCAUGCGCAGCCCUAUCUCCUUAAAUACGCAUAAUUUGUUAAAAGGAUAUU